GACGAACGCUGGCGGCGUGCCUAAUACAUGCAAGUCGAGCGCAGGAAAUCGACGGAACCCUUCGGGGGGAAGUCGACGGAAUGAGCGGCGGACGGGUGAGUAACACGUAAAGAACCUGCCCUCAGGUCUGGGAUAACCACGAGAAAUCGGGGCUAAUACCGGAUGGGUCAUCGGACCGCAUGGUCCGAGGAUGAAAGGCGCUUCGGCGUCGCCUGGGGAUGGCUUUGCGGUGCAUUAGCUAGUUGGUGGGGUAAGGGCCCACCAAGGCGACGAUGCAUAGCCGACCUGAGAGGGUGGUCGGCCACACUGGAACUGAGACACGGCCAAGACUGCUACGGGAGGCAGCAGUAGGGAAUCUUCCACAAUGGACGAAAGUCUGAUGGAGCAACGCCGCGUGAACGAUGAAGGCCUUCGGGUCGUAAAGUUCUGUUGUAAGGGAAGAACAAGUGCCGCAGGCAAUGGCGGCACCUUGACGGUACCCGUAGAAGAAGCCCCGGCUAACUUCGUGCCAGCAGCCGCAGUAA
rnacentral:rRNA from 1 species